GCUUUAUUGACUGCACAAGUUGCCAUUUCAAACCAUGGCUUAACAACAUCCCAAAAGGGCAAAUGCUAAGACUAAAGCGUAACUGUACAGAAAAUGAGGAGUAUAUACAGCAAGCAGGGCAAUUGCAAGAACAAUUUAGGGAAAAGGAUAUAAUGAAUGUCUUUUAGAACAAGCUUUUAAAGAGGUUGAGAAAGUAGAUAGAAAACAACUUUUAAAGUAUAAGGAUAAAAUUGUGACUCAGACCGAAAGUGAAAAAGUUCCAUUGAUUUUUAAUUAUUGUACAAAUAACCAAGAUUUACG